CGUGUAGGCGGUUUAAUAAGUCAGAUGUAAAAGCCCCCGGCUCAACCGGGGAUGGUCAUUUGAAACUGUUAGGCUUGAGUGCGAGAGAGGGUAGUGGAAUUCCCAGUGUAGCGGUGAAAUGCGUAGAUAUUGGGAAGAACACCAGUAGCGAAGGCGGCUACCUGGCUCGCAACUGACGCUGAGGCGCGAAAGCGUGGGAGCAAACA
rnacentral:rRNA from 1 species